CGACAAAGGGGAGAGCAGCCAAAAGGAAUCAGUAAAAUCAAGAGGAAAACUACAGAGGCAUUUUGAAUCAAUCUUUGCUUUUAAAAUGCCUUUAAAACUUGUUAGCCUGUUUCUUCUGCUUGAUUAUGUCAUAGUACUUAAGGCAGACAUACAAAAGAAGUAUGUGUUAAUUGCUCAGUGAUGUCCGACUCUUUGCGACACUGUGGACUGCAGCCGGCCAGGCUACUCUAUCCAUGAGAUUCUCCAGGAAUCUCUUGAGGAAGCCCCAGGGGACAGUCUGAUUGGAUCAAAGUCACCAGUGUGCACCGCUUGAAAAAGAGCCACCCAUCAAAAUACUGACCCUGGAGUUUAAGAGCAAGAA